rnacentral:snRNA from 1 species
GUGCUCGCUUCAGCAGCACAUAUACUAAAAUUGAAACGAUACAGAGAAGAUCAGCAUGGCCCCUGCGCAAGGAUGACACGCAAAUUCAUGAAGCGGUCCGUAUUUUA